GUUGGGUGUUGUGGCAUGUGCCUGUGGUCUUAGCUACUUGGAAGGCUGAGGUGGAAGGAUCUCUUGAGCCCAGGAGUUGUGGAGGGUAGCGCACUGUGUUCUACAUAUGGACUGAGUGUCUGCACUAAAUUCAGCAUCAAUAGGGUGUCCUGGGAGUGGGGGACUAACAGGUUGCCUGAGGAGGGGUGAACUGGUCCAGGUUGGCAACAGAGCAGGUUAAAACUCCCAUGCUGAUCAGUAGUGGGAUAGCCAUUGCACUCCGGCCUGGACAACAUUAAGGUGACCCUGUUUCUUAUUAAAAGCAAGAGG
rnacentral:SRP_RNA from 10 species